CUGCAUACUUUGAGACACGAUUUCGACCUCGACUCGUGUCUUCGUUGGAACUGGUACCGGGCUGCUCAACAAUCGUAAUAUCCAGUUUUCCAGUCCGUGUAUCCAGUUUGGUUCCUUAAAUAAUCUAGACGCGUCUAGAGUUAUUUAAAAAGAUAUCGAUUAAGAUGCAACCGUAUACCGGAAUCUUUGUCGGUGAGAGUGAAGGUGAAUGAGGUGGCCUCUCGUAAGGCUGUGCGUUUAGGGCCGACGCUGGUGCAACCCUCGGGCUGGCAGAAAUAAACCAUGUCCAAAGGUGAUAUGAGAAGCAGCGAUAAACGAUACCUGCACAGGCUGACGAGAGACUGAGGGCAAUCUAGCCCCCACGAUGGCGAGAUAAUCCACCAAGCGGGGGCACAGGUGUUUCUUCUGUAUAUCC